GCUCGUGUUUAUUUCACCAUUCAUGUUUUCAAAGUAACUGUUAUACCAACUGAAACAUUCAAAAGUUUACAUAGAAUCACAUUCCGUAUCACACUAUAGCUUAAACAACACAAGUUAUAUUAAUAAGAAUAUUGUGACGUCUGAUUUUUACAUAUUUGAGAUACACUAAUGGUAUAACAGGAACUGAAAACAGUGCUGUAUCACCCAAUUUUCCCCGGGUUUGAUUUUGUUUGUAUU
rnacentral:lncRNA from 1 species